UCUCCCUCGCUCGCUCACCCCUACUCUCUUGUCGAGCCGGCCACACACAAACCCUCUCAUCCUCUUCCACCUCUACUUCCCAAUCCCCAAACCAAAAUCUUUUCAAAAUUGCUGCGAUUAAUUUCUUCAGAACUUAGCUUGCGGAGAGAAAGCGUGUGGAGAGUACUCAACGGGGGAGAGAGAGCGAAAUGGAUUCGGAUCAAGGGAAGCUUUUUAUUGGUGGGAUAUCGUGGGAUACGACGGAGGACAACCUGAAAGAUCAUUUCAGCAACUAUGGUGAUGUUUUGCACGCCUCCGUUAUGAGAGAGAAGAAUACUGGGAAGCCCAGAGGCUUUGGAUUCGUUGUGUUCGCGGAUCCUUCGAUCCUCGAUAGGGUUCUCGAGGAGAAGCACGUAAUCGAUGGCAGAACGGUAGAUGCCAAGAAGGCCUUCUCCAGAGAGGAUCAACAAAUUUCAGCCACGUCCAGGGCUGGAAAUCCCAACUCUUAUAGAAAUUCUGGAAAUGGAGGAAAUAUGAGGACCAAAAAAAUAUUUGUUGGUGGGUUGCCUCCGACAUUGAGUGAAGAGAAGUUUCGUGAGUAUUUUGAGGCUUAUGGUCAUGUAACUGAUGUAGUAGUCAUGUAUGACCAGAAUACUGGACGGCCACGUGGAUUUGGGUUUAUUUCAUUUGACACUGAAGAUGCAGUUGACAGGGUUUUGCAGAAGCCAUUUCACGAUUUAAAUGGCAAGCAAGUAGAGGUGAAGCGGGCACUUCCGAAGGAUGCUAAUCCUGGUGCGAGCGGCCGAAUGGGUACUGGGGGAGGAGGUGGCAGUGGUUAUCAGGGGUACGGGGCAUCUGGUGGCAAUCAAAAUGCAUAUGAUGGUCGGAUGGAUUCUGGUAGGUAUGUGCAGCCUCCAAGCACCGGGGGUGGAUUUCCACCUUAUGGUUCUUCUGGAUAUGGUGCUUCCGGGUACGGUUAUGGUCCUGCUAAUAAUGGCAUGGGUUUUGCCGGAUAUGGAAGUUAUGGUGGUGCAAGCACUGGGUAUGGUGGACCUGCUGGUGCAACCUAUGGGAAUCCUGGCAUCCCCAAUGCUGCUUAUGCCAGUGGUCCACCUGGUGCUCCAAGGAGUUCAUGGCCUGCUCAAGCUCCCUCUGGUUAUGGUUCUAUGGGCUAUGGGAAUGCUGCUGCUUGGGGUGCUACUGGUGGCAGUGCUGGAUCUGGCGGCACUGGUGGCCCUGGUUCAGCGCCUGCAGGUCAGUCACCCAGUGGAGCUGCUGGUUAUGGGAAUCAAGGAUAUGGUUAUGGUGGUUAUGGUGGGUAUGGUGGAAGUGAUAGUCCUUAUGGGAACCCUGGUGUAUAUGGUGCUGUGGGCGGGCGAUCAGGAAGUGCCCCAAACAGCUAUGCUGGUGGUCCAGGAGGAAAUGAACCACAAGGGAGUGGUGGUAACUACAAUGGAAGUGGCUAUGGUGAUGCAAAUGGAAGUUCAGGAUAUGGAAAUGCUGCAUGGAGAUCUGAAGCUGCACAACAAUCUGGAAAUUAUGGGACUCCUCAGUUAAAUGGUCCUCAUGGAGGGCAAGUUGGAUACGGAAGCAACUAUGGUGGUGCUCAGUCACGGCAGGCCCAACAGCAGUAAUUUUGACAAAUAGAUUAUCAACUGGAUCGUUCAAUUUCAUCUUUUGGACCCCUCUUCAAAUCUUGAUUUAUGAGAUCAUCAUGAAUUCUUCUGCCCAGCAUCAACCAAGUAGCCCAAGCAUAAUGUCAAUACACUUUGGGACUGGAGGAGAGGUGCACGAGUACUGAAGUGUAGCCAAGUGUCCACUUAUGUCUGAACACGAACUUCAUAAUGGGCUUGGUCAGGGUGGUUGAUCAGCAUGCUAUGAACGUUGUUCAGUCAAAUCGUGUUUUUCUGGGGCAAAGCGGCUUCACACUUGGGGAUUCCAGGCUUGUUCAAGUAUGAUAAAGUUCUUGACCUACUGUCUGGUUUGUGGUGUUUGACGGAAAGUGAGGUGGAUGGUGUGCAGUAGUGGACUAAAGCAGUUAGCCAUGACUUGUUCCAAAUCUUUGCCUGAAUGCUACUAGGUGACCAACCAAUUGAUAUACCCGAUGUUAACUUGUGGUUUCAUGUGCUAGAGGACUUUAGAGACUUGUUCAUAAUAGCGUUGGCAUGUUUUUAAUGGAAGUGGAUUGCUAACAGACUAAUUUCUUCUGAUGUAAAUUCUGUUUUGAUGUUUGACUGUGAUAAUGGCUUGUGAUAGAGACGUAGAAGAUUCCGAGUGGGAUUACCUCGUUCCUUUGAUAAUA